UGGGCGAAAGCCUGAUCCAGCCAUGCCGCGUGCAGGAUGAAGGCCUUCGGGUUGUAAACUGCUUUUGUACGGAACGAAACGGCCUUUUCUAAUAAAGAGGGCUAAUGACGGUACCGUAAGAAUAAGCACCGGCUAACUACGUGCCAGCAGCCGCGGUAAUACGUAGGGUGCAAGCGUUAAUCGGAAUUACUGGGCGUAAAGCGUGCGCAGGCGGUAAUGUAAGACAGUUGUGAAAUCCCCGGGCUCAACCUGGGAACUGCAUCUGUGACUGCAUUGCUGGAGUACGGUAGAGGGGGAUGGAAUUCCGCGUGUAGCAGUGAAAUGCGUAGAUAUGCGGAGGAACACCGAUGGCGAAGGCAAUCCCCUGGACCUGUACUGACGCUCAUGCACGAAAGCGUGGGGAGCAAACAGGAUUAGAUACCCUGGUAGUCCACGCCCUAAACGAUGUCAACUGGUUGUUGGGUCUUCACUGACUCAGUAACGAAGCUAACGCGUGAAGUUGACCGCCUGGGGA
rnacentral:rRNA from 1 species